rnacentral:rRNA from 1 species
UACGUAGGGGGCUAGCGUUGCUCGGAAUUACUGGGCGUAAAGCGCACGUAGGCGGCUUUUUAAGUCAGGGGUGAAAUCCUGGAGCUUAACUCCAGAACUGCCUUUGAUACUGGGAAGCUAGAGUCCGGAAGAGGUGAGUGGAACUGCGAGUGUAGAGGUGAAAUUCGUAGAUAUUCGCAAGAACACCAGUGGCGAAGGCGGCUCACUGGUCCGGUACUGACGCUGAGGUGCGAAAGCGUGGGGAGCAAACGGG